GUGUCAGCAGCCGCGGUAAGACGAACCGUGCGAAUGUUGUUCGGAAUCACUGGGCUUAAAGGGAGCGUAGGCGGGCUAUCAAGUCUGGGGUGAAAUGCCGCGGCUCAACCGUGGAACUGCCUUAGAUACUGACGGCCUCGAGGGAGAUAGGGGCAUGCGGAACUGUAGGUGGAGCGGUGAAAUGCGUUGAUAUCUACAGGAACUCCGGUGGCGAAAGCGGCGUGCUGGAUCUCUUCUGACGCUGAGGCUCGAAAGCUAGGGGAGCAAACGGGAUUAGAUACCCCCGUAGUCC
rnacentral:rRNA from 1 species